AGUCACAUCCUGUUGUGGCCAUUCAGGUGAACCUGCUCCUGGCCAUACAGACUUCUUCAGGGCACUUCCAGUGUACCAAUGCUCAGAUAAGAAACAUGCAAUGAAGGUAAUCUUUCCUGAGGGACUUCUGUCUCUGAAAUGAAAAUGCCAUUUCCAGUAGCAAGGACUACUUAGAUAGAAAGGAGGUGCUUGGGUCUGUGGCAGGACAAAGAGCACGCAGAAACACAGUAGGGUCACCAGGAAUGUCAGCCCUCAGUGACCGGAUGGGAGCCAGAAGUGUGAGACUGAAUACAAAGGCAAAGGGACUGCUUGGGAGGACUGGGUUAGCAGGAGGCUGGACAACCAAAGCCUCAGCAGCCCUGGGAAAUCCAUGACUUAGGACACACAAGGGGCGCAUGACCAUUGAUCUCUGUAUUGAGGAGGUCAGGGUUCAGUUUCUUCCUCUGCCUCGAGGGACUUGGGUCUCAUGUCCCACUUCCCCAGAGAGUGCUCUGGCCAAUGAGCAAAAUGCUGUUUUGGGUGAGGAUGCUCUCUGUCCAUCCUGUCCAAGCUGUGCCACUAAGCAGAAAGGAAUUCAUGAAACCAGAGGAAGAAUACAAGUGUGUUGGGGUAUGCUGCUGGAGUAUGUGUGGAGAAACACACAUAAGUUAGGGUAGGGUAAUGAGAGUGCCUGUCACUGUUGCUGCUCUGUUUUAUGUGAAAUAAAAUCCUUCAUGUCCUCUGUGGAGCCGUUCUUCUUCUCCCCGCAGUUGUCUGCAGUUCUCUCAGUUUGGUAAGGACAAGGUGUGAUGAUUAAUCACUGCCCCAUCUCCAGAGAUGUUACCACCAA